GGGACCGACUUGGCUUCGACGUGGGUACGGAGUCGGCGCGGGGCAUGCCGAGCACCAGUUCGCUCGUAAAUCCACUGGAAACAAAGUAACUGCGAACGAUCAAACGUACGCCCUCGCCGCUUAAAA
rfam:Rubrivivax sp. SCN 70-15 ABT20_C0106, whole genome shotgun sequence.